CUCCCGGGAAGUCCUCGUG
rnacentral:snRNA from 1 species